rnacentral:rRNA from 1 species
GACGGAAGGUGCAAGCGUUGCUCGGAAUCACUGGGCGUAAAGGGUGCGUAGGCGGCUUGGUGGGUCUGGUGUGAAAGCCCCGGGCUCAGCCCGGGAAGGGCACUAGAAACUGCCGAGCUGGAGUGCCGGAGGGGAGAGUGGAAUUCCUGGUGUAGCGGUGAAAUGCGUAGAUAUCAGGAGGAACACCAAUUGCGAAGGCAGCUCGCUGGGACGUUACUGACGCUGAGACGCGAAAGCGUGGGGAGCAAACAGG